GAUGAACGCUGGCGGCGUGCCUAAUACAUGCAAGUCGAGCGAAUGGAUUAAGAGCUUGCUCUUAUGAAGUUAGCGGCGGACGGGUGAGUAACACGUGGGUAACCUGCCCAUAAGACUGGGAUAACUCCGGGAAACCGGGGCUAAUACCGGAUAACAUUUUGAACCGCAUGGUUCGAAAUUGAAAGGCGGCUUCGGCUGUCACUUAUGGAUGGACCCGCGUCGCAUUAGCUAGUUGGUGAGGUAACGGCUCACCAAGGCAACGAUGCGUAGCCGACCUGAGAGGGUGAUCGGCCACACUGGGACUGAGACACGGCCCAGACUCCUACGGGAGGCAGCAGUAGGGAAUCUUCCGGAAUGGACGAAAGUCUGACGGAGCAACGCCGCGUGAGGGAUGAAGGCUUUCGGGUCGUAAAACUCUGUUGUUAGGGAAGAACAAGUGCUAGUUGAAUAGGCUGGCACCUUGACGGUACCUAACCAGAAAGCCACGGCUAACUACGUGCCAGCCGCCGCGGUAA
rnacentral:rRNA from 1 species